GUGUCAGCAGCCGCGGUAAUACAGAGGUCCCGAGCGUUGUUCGGAUUCACUGGGCGUAAAGGGUGCGUAGGUGGUGAGGUAAGUCGGAUGUGAAAUCUCGGAGCUCAACUCCGAAACGGCAUUGGAAACUACCUUGCUGGAGGGUUGGAGGGGGGACUGGAAUGCUUGGUGUAGCAGUGAAAUGCGUAGAUAUCAAGCGGAACACCGGUGGCGAAGGCGAGUCCCUGGACAACACCUGACACUGAGGCACGAAAGCUAGGGGAGCAAACAGGAUUAGAAACCCGCGUAGUCC
rnacentral:rRNA from 1 species